UACGGGGGGGGCAAGCGUUGUUCGGAAUUAUUGGGCGUAAAGGGCUCGUAGGCGGUUUGUCGCGUCGGGAGUGAAAACCCAGGGCUUAACCCUGGGCUGGCUUCCGAUACGGGCAGACUAGAGGUAUGCAGGGGAGAACGGAAUUCCUGGUGUAGCGGUGAAAUGCGCAGAUAUCAGGAGGAACACCGGUGGCGAAGGCGGUUCUCUGGGCAUUACCUGACGCUGAGGAGCGAAAGUGUGGGGAGCGAACAGG
rnacentral:rRNA from 1 species